rnacentral:rRNA from 1 species
AUGAACGCUGGCGGCGUGCUUAACACAUGCAAGUCGAACGGGGAAUAUUUUAAAGAAGCUUCGGCAGAUUUAGUUUGUUCCUAGUGGCGGACGGGUGAGUAACGCGUGGGUAACCUGCCUCACACUGGGGGAUAACAGUCAGAAAUGACUGCUAAUACCGCAUAAGCGCACAGAGCCGCAUGGCUCAGUGUGAAAAACUCCGGUGGUGUGAGAUGGACCCGCGUUGGAUUAGCCAGUUGGCAGGGUAACGGCCUACCAAAGCGACGAUCCAUAGCCGGCCUGAGAGGGUGGACGGCCACAUUGGGGCUGAGACACGGCCCAGACUCCUACGGGAGGCAGCAGUGGGGAAUAUUGCACAAUGGGGGAAACCCUGAUGCAGCGACGCCGCGUGAAGGAAGAAGUAUCUCGGUAUGUAAACUUCUAUCAGCAGGGAAGAA